CGCGGGGCCUCCGGAGCGUAGGUCAGAGGUUCCUCUCCGCCUGGACUAGUGAGUGGGUCAGUUCUGGGGUCACGUACCUGGCUCGGGGUGCGGGGCUCCGAAACGGGUCCCGGCCCAGUGCGGACGCCUUAGAGGCAUCGGGAGGCGCGUAGCCUAACCCCGGGGUCGCCCAGCUCAGCGUCUGCGCUUCCUGUGUUUUCAUUGCAGGCGGUGGGGAGGCCGGAAACGUUAUGCUCAGAGUAGUGCACAUAGGCGGUGCUGGACUUAGGUGUUGGCCUUUUGUGUCGGUAGAAGUUGGCGCUGCUUGUGAAGUGACAAAGACCCUGGCUCAUAUAAGCGGGUUAAAAAAAUAACAAUUUCAUAUUUUGGGAGGGACACGAGUGCAAGUAACGCCCGCCUAAAAUUUAUAUUACCUUUUACAAACAUCCACUUGGGAAAAUUUGGGACAAAUAUGCCGCCCUUUGGAUUAGGGACAUUGAGUAUUAAAUCUUUUUGUUAACAGAACAUUUGAUAAAGUUUGUGAAAGAGUUACCCUUAGAAGUAAAAGUGGGGCUGACAUAGUCAUAAGAAUAUAUGCAACUAGAGAGCUUAUCCCAGGUCUAUACUUAAUAGAACCACUGGGUAGAAUAGUCCAUUGACUGAACGUGCAGGUGUUUUCACUUAAUACACUGCAAAAAUCACGUUAACUAAUACAUGCUGUUUUGUCCAUGCUGUAAGUGUAUGUAUCUGAGGUAGCAUACACUGAGUUGUGGAUAAUGAUAGACAGAAUGGGAAACCCAUUAAGCUGUGUACACCUUGCAUUUCUUUGAUGAAGAGGGGGAAAGUAAUUAAAUGAUUGGUCAGAGGAUUUGCAGAACAGACCAAGAAAGUGACAUUACUGUUUUAAGAGUCCCUCAAUAUAGCAAGAGUAGAAGCAGAGUGACUUUAGAAUGACAAAAAAAGAGGAAUUUUGAAAAUUAUUGUUUUGUAAGUUUAGGAUUUUUCACGUGUGCAUUACUCAUAAUGGGCAUUACUAAGCACAGCUAUGCCUGUUUUUAUUUUAGUCCCUUUAACAUGAUUUAAUGUGAAUAAAAUCAGAAUUUGUCUAAAUAAAAAAAAGUAAAAGUGGGGUAUAAAUAGAAGCUAUCAUUAAUUGCAACAAAUAAGGUUUAAGAAAGCAGGAAGCAAUCUUCAGUUCGUUCGUUAGCAAUAUUUUAGUCAACUAGGUAUAUUUCUAGGUGCUGGGAGGUGACAAUGAGCAAACCAUAGACAAAUCCCCUCACUGAAGGUAAACUAAUGAGAGAUGACUUUAAUCAGGUCAUCAUAAAGAUAAACGUAAAAUGUGAAAUGUAAUAAUUGAACUAGAAAAGAAUAAUAUGAUCUUGUGAGAGCAUUUGACACAUGAAGGAGCUGAGAAAGGAUUGGAUUUGGGGGAAAAACAGGAUUUCCAAUCAGAGGAAACCAAGUCCUGUUACUGUGCAUCAUCUCUAGAAAAGGCAUGUUCAGGAUGAAGUAUUAAAGAAUUAAUUUCCUGGGUGCCUGGGUGGCUCAAUUAAGCAUCUCACUUGAUUUCAGCUCAGGCCAUGAUCUUGUGGGUUUGAGUCCCAUGUUGGGCUGUGUGCUGACACCAGGGAGCCUGCUUGGGAUUCUCUCUCCCUCUCUCUGCCCCUUCUCCCCUCAUGUGCUCUUGCACUCUCUUACUCUCUCAAAAUAAACUUAAAAAAAAAAAAAAAAAAAGGAAUCUCCUUAUUGCACUUGAAGGUUUCCCUGAUCAAACAUGCCAUUAUCUUUCUUAGGCACUAGAAUCCCACAUGACUGUUUAAUAAGAAACCAAGAGCCAGCAUAAGGGAAAUGAGUAUAUAUAAAUCCAGUUCAGGGAUUCCAGGACUGCCAGGGAUAUAGUUAAGGCCUGGGAAGUAUUUUAUUUCAUUCCCUCUCCAAUACAACUGGUAUAGCUGUUGUAUCAAGGAUAAUUUAAACAGCACUGCAUGACCUGGCCCUUCCUGCCUGUCUGGACUAUCUCUCUGGUUCUGAAUCCUAUCUUUCAGAUACUCAGCAUUGCUUGCUGUUUCUAAUUCUAUGCUGAAACCCCUUCUCCUAAUUUCUCAACCAGAACAUCUUUAUGUCUAAGACACUUUGAACAUGCCCAAUUAUAGGACUUAGCUCAUUGCAUUAGAUUUCUUUGUAUUUCAUGCCCAGCGGUAAGGACCACCAACAAAAAACAGCCAGGAACAGAAUUGUAAAAAAAAAAAAAGUAAUAAUAAUAAGUUUAUUGAACUUGCUACAGCAAAGGAAUUCACCAGAGGACCUGUGAGGCUCCUUAAAAGGGGGGCGUUAUGGAAGCAUCCAUGUGAGGGUUAGGGCUAGUGUUAGUAACAGAUAGUCUUGGCAGGGAUGGGUCAAAAUUUAUAAACUAGGAGAGUCAUUGGAGGAGUCAGUGGUCUUAUCUGGAACACAUGAGUCCAUGUGGAGUCCAUGUGGAGUUAUUGGGAGGUCAGCUUGUCUUAUCUUGGAGCAAAUGGUCUGAAUGAGCUAAAUUAGUUAAAUGGUCUGAAUUUAAUGCUUGUUUUUGCUGGGCAGCACAGUUUAGUACCAUUUUUCUGUUUGCAAGUCACGGUCAGGUCCACAUUGCUGUUUGUGGCUUCAGUUCUCCCCCCAGGCUCCAGCCUAGCUGCCACCCAGUUAUCAGCAGGGAGAUGGGACCCCUAUAAUUGGUUAGACCAAGUUUCUCAACUUCAGCACCACUGACAUUUUGGGCCAGAUAAUUCUUUGUUGGGGGUGGCAGGGAGAAGCUCUCCUGUGCAUUGCAGGAUGUUUAGCAGCAUCCCUGGCCUCCAUCCACCAGAUGCCAAUAGUGUCCCACCUAGUGAUGCUAAUUAGUAAUGUCUCCAGACAUUUCCAAGUGUCCCCUGGGAGACAAAAUAGCCCCUGGUUGAGAACCACUGGGUUAGACCAACCAGAAGCCACCCUCUUUGCACCCUGAGACUGGGGAUGAGGCCCACUUCCAUUGAAACUUUGGCCCACAUGGAAGGCAAUUGAUUUCAAUAAAUCAGGGUUCUACCAGCACGGAAGGACAGGCAGUGAUGCUGGGCAAGCAGCCAAUUGUAUGCCUCACAGCUUAAACUAGAAAUACUCCCUAUUUCCAGUCCAGUGCUUUUUUCCAAUCCCAUACUGUUUCCAUUUCUUUCACAGAUAUCUGCUGAGAGCCUUCCAGGUGCUCAGCCAAGUGCGGUGACGAAAUGAAGGUGAAAUAAGGUGAGCCAACAUGCAGACAUGUUAUAAUCUCAGAGGGGAGAUAAGCCUAAUAACUGAUAUAAAAUAGUGUCAUGGAAGAACUGCAUGAUGCCUUGAGGGCCACAAGGAACAAGUGCCAUCAGGUAGCAAUGCCCAGAGAAGGUUUCAUGGAGGAGGUGAUGUGUGAACCAGGCCUUGGAUAAGUAACAUUAUAAUGGGCAGGUUGAGGGGAUGGAAGAGGACAAGAAACAGGCCAAAAGUAUGGAGUGCCCAUGGAUUGGUCGAUAAGGUGAUGACAAUCAGGGCAGACUUCAAGGUUAUGAGUAAUCAAGGAAGACAAACCAUCUCAAAGGGGUAAAGAAGAGCAGCAAUAGACAGAGCCCUUCUCCCUGCCCUGAAUCCAGGGGAGAGAAAGAGUGGCCUGCCCUAAACAGGGCUUCAAGCUAACUUGUAUUGUGAUAGGAAGCUCUGGUGUCAGCUCGGGCAGGAAAAUGGAAAGUUAGAGAAUGUAGAAUAACUUGUUCACUGUAGAAAAAGCAUCUUAGAGAUCAUGCAGGUGCCAGGCACAGACAUCCACAAAAGCCCACUUAAGAUGAGGGAGGGAUCUAUUGGAAGGAUAUGGGGAUAUCUCACAGAAUACCAUCACAGAAAAUACAGUCAAGCCUCACAGGGACUGGAACAAGGACCUGGAAAAACAGGAACAAUGUUCGUCUCAUCCUCCCUGGGGCCUCGCCAUGUUUUGUCUCUUGGUCCCUGCAUGUUUCUGGGGCAAGCCCUGUUAUUUGCCUGCCUCCCUUCUUUUUUGCUGCCCUCUACUACAGCUGGAUACAUUGUUACUUUUCCAGCUCUUAAAGCUAAGGUGGUCCUAGGCUAGAUUCUGGCCUUGAGAUAAAGAAAUCUAGGGUUUCUUUUGACCUCUAGGAAAAGUUUUUGCUUUUCUGAUAAAAGGGAGAGAUAGGCCUUGCCCUUUCUUCUGCUCUGAACCCCAGAGUUGUGCUUAGAGUGACAAUAGUGUCUUGUGACCAUGGGAAAACACUUUGAGGUCUAAACGACAGCAGUCUGAGAACAGAAAACCUAGGCUGCUCACCUCUGCCAGCAACCACCUACACCUGGGCUUUCAGAUUGCAUGAGGAAAACAACCCCUCAUGCAUGUGAGCAGUUUGUGCUUGCACCUGAAUGCGUUCCAUCUGACACGCAUUCUCUGCAUGGACAUGUCCAUGGCAGAAAACUACUGCCUCAAGCCCAGUUCUCCAUGACUUCCCAUUUCAGGAAUCCCACCAACUAACUACAGUCUCUUUGUCCCAAGUCCAGAUUCCUGAAUUGAGACUCUAAUGUUCCCAACUUUGGUGAGGUGCCCAAGCCUGGUGCUGUGUUAGAGGACAAAAUCCCACAUUCCACUGAACGUUCAGGAGGAACGAGAGAGGGAACUAGGCGGCAGGACUAUGCGUGAGCAGGACAGGACAGCACAGCACGUUGAAUGAUGUCUGCUCCAAUGAGAAGCAGGUAGGGGAAGAGGUAAGGAUUAUAAAUAAGUUGACUAGAGAAAACUCCCUUAAUUACACUAAUGAGGAAGAUUCUUAAGAUCGACCCAGACUUGAUAGGAAAUGGUUCUCAGUAAGAAAGACAUUCCCCAGUGUCUGCAUGGACAUGGACAUUCAUUGUUAUUAUUUCUGUUGACAAGUAGCUCGUCUGUCCCAUUGUUCUUUGGGAAUCUUAACACUGACAUUUCCUAUUUGGCACGGGUCACUUGUUAAUCACGUUUCAUUACACCCAGAAAUCAUUUCUUGAAAGCAACUAAUUAUUUCCCUUAGGCAAUUUCUACUCUGCCUUUUUGAGCAAACAUAUGCAUACUUGUAAGUGUAUGGCUCCUGGGUGACUCAGUCGGUUAAGCAUCCAACUCUUGGUUUCAGCUCAAGUCAUGAUCUUAAGACCUGUGUCAAGCUCCACGUGAGCCUGCUUGGGGACUCUCUGUCUUAGCCCCUCCCGACUCAUGCUUGCUCUUUCUCAAAAUAAAUAAACUUUAAAAAUAUUCAAAUAAAAGAGUUAAGUGUUUCCUUGACUCUCAAGAAUAAAGAGAUAUAUGAUUGGCGGAGAUGACGUCCUUCUUUGGGAAAGAAAUCAGCCCAAAAUAUGUCUGUGCAUCCAGAAGGCUGCUUGGCAGAAGUUUGGGUCUGCAAGAGCAAGGAGACUAGACAGAGUUACCCAGUUGGUGGCUCUUACUAAGAAAAUCCCACCCUGCGGGCACCUGGGUGGCUCAGUCAGUUAAGUGUUCAACUUCGGCGCAGGUCAUGAUCUUGCAGUUCAUGGUUUCAAGCCCUGUGUUGGGUUCUGUUCUGACUACUAACAGCUCAGAGCCUGGAGCCUGCCUUGGAUUCUGUGUCUCCCUCUCUGCCCCUCUCCCACUCGCACUCUGUCUCUUACUCUCUCUCAAAAAUAAACGUUAGAAAAUCCCACCCUAUUUGCAAGAGAAGUUGGCAGGCCAACUAUUCCAAUAGGUUUUCUAAACUCCUUGGUACUUAGCAGUUUGUUAAUAAUGUCCUAGGACAGGCAGCCACAGCUUUCUUCCCUUGUCUCUUGCUCAGUUUAUUUAGAGUCGGAUUUUUGCCUCUGGCUUGUCACCUCUUUGGCCAUGGUUGGUACCCUAUCGUGCAGAUGUCAGGGGCACUAAUCAGCUCCUGUGCUAUUUGGAAUAAAGGCUGGUGCAGGCAGGAAUUCAGCUUCACGUUUAGCAAAGGCCAUAGUGAUGGAACCCUCAAAGUGGUACUCUUGGAGGGUCACAGUUUGCCUCUGGCAUGACUGGCUGGGAACAAGUUUGGUGGUGUCCCCUAGUUUCCCCAUAUCUUUAUGAUAAGGAGAAGAGGAAUCCCAGCAACCAAGCAAAAGAGUGUUGAAAUAGAGACUUCUUUUUUUUUCUUCCCACUCUUUUCCCUCCAGAGAGCAGGGUGAGAACAAAAUGAUUCCCAUCUCCAAUACUUGUACACCAAGACAGCCGGCAGGAGGGGUUUUUUUGUCCCAUAGGCAGCCACAGGGUUUGGUCAAAACGGGCUGUGUUCUUCACAGGCCUGUGCCAUUCUUUCACAGUGGCACCUUCCCCUCAUUCCACCAGAGAAUUCCAGAGUGUGUGUCUUCACUCUGCAAGACAAAGAGCCAUUCUUGACACAUGCCAGCUACCAGCUAGGCAAGUGUGAUGUCUAUUCAUUCAACAGAUACUAAGCACUUGCCAUGUCAUGUGUUAGGCAGUACUCUAGGCACUGGUAAUUUGCAGGUGGAUCCUGCCCUCAGGGAGCUUACCUUCAAGAGAGGAAGGAGACUGUAGAUGCACGUACACUGCACAGUGGGUGAGAGGGCAGGGAGUGGGGGCUACUGUUUGUGUGGGGUGGUAGAUGGAAGCAGUUGACACUAAACUGUGAAUAAAGUCCACUAACUGAAUGUGAGUGGGAAGAUCGGGGUCUUGGUGUUUGGGUAUUAUUUGCAUUGUUUAUCAGGGUGUGGCUGCAGACAUAGGCUGUGAACACGUUUGCUUUCGUUCCCGUAAGUGUCACCAAGCUCCUAAAGUCCUUGCAGAGAAGUGAGCCCUGAACACAGGGCAUUUACAAAUUCACUGAGAAAAAGGAUUCCUGAACUUAUCCACUGAUUUUAAGUAGUUACACUUUCUCAAGGGCAUUUUCUUGUUCUACUCUUUGCCCAGGGUCCACACACCAGAGACAACACCAAGCAGAUGACUGCUUCUUCUUCCCCUUUCUGCCCCAUAGUACUGCUCUCUCAGCUUGCUUCCCCUUAAAUCACCUGUGCCAGGAGGACCAUCCUAGUAGUCAGAUGCCAUAAUCAGAGUGUGUGGCCUUCACAGUGUCAACAGCUGGACUCAAAGGCAUAAAAUGAAGGUAAAAAUAAAGCUGAUUCUAGGCAGCAGUGGCUCAGUGCCUCAGUGGGUCCCUAGUGAAUUAUUUUGCCCCAGAGUGCUGAGCUUCAAGACAGUGGUUCUCAACUUUGGCUGCACAUUAGAACCAUCUGGGAAGCUUUAAAAUAUGGUGAUGCCUGCAUUGGUUGAGCAUCCCACUCAACCAAUUGAUUUUGGCUCAGGUCAUGAUCCCAGGGUCGUGGGAUCGAGGCCUGCAUUGGGCUCCACACUGAACAUGGAGCCUGCUUAGGAUUCUCUCUCUCUCUCUCUCUCUCUCUCUCUCUCACUCUCUCUCACUCACUCUCCCUCCCUCUCCCUCUCUCUCUCCCUCCCCCUCUCCCCCUCUGCCCCUCUCCCACACUUGCACUCGCUCUCUAAAAUAAAAAGUUAAAAAAACUCCAAUGCUUGUGCCCCACCCCAGAAGUUAUGAUUAAAUUGGUCCAGGGUGUGGCUUGGGCAUUGUGAGUUUUGAAAGCUCUCUAGGUACUUUUAAAAGCCAAGUUGAGCAUCACUGCUUAGAGAGGAAAUAAGAAAUAGAGAAAUAUGUAUAGUAUUCCAUUUUAGGGAGGUAGAGGGGACAGGGGUCUGAGUCCAGUGUCGCUAUGAUUAAGAGACAAAAAGAAUCACCCCUUUUACCAAUUUGCAUUCGGAUCCUGAAGAACUGCCUGCCUGCAGGAACAUCUGAGAGGCAGCUUUGGGAUGAAAGAGGCUGCAGAGAUUUGGCAAAACUCUGACAAAACACCCCUCCUCUUGUCUGGGACCCUGAGGGGCUGUGAUUUAUUGGUGGGAACACAGACUGUGGUCAGGAAUGGGAGGAGAGAGGCUCUGACAUGCUGGCAGUGUUUCCUAUCAUGACCUCAGUGGAAGUCACCUGGGUUUUGUUUCAUGUCAGUUUGUUAAGCUGUACAUGUUUUAUACACCCUUCUAUAUAUGUUAUGUUUCAUCCAAAAAAAUUACUUAAAAAAAAAAGCUAUUGCCUAGGGGUGCCUGGGUGGCUCAGUUGGUUAAGCAUCUGACUCUUGAUUUCGGCUCAGGUCAUGAUCUCAUGGUUCAUGAGAUUGAGCCCCCUCACUGGGCUGACUAUGCAGAGCCUGCUUGGGAUUCUCUCUCCCUGCCCCAUCCCCCAACUGUCUCCCUCUCUCUCAACAAGUAAACAAACAAACAUUUUUUUUAAAAAGCUAUUGCCUAGUUUGAAAGCUCUCUUUCUCCAGGUCACUUUCUUAAAUGGAAACAGAAAUACAUGAAGUGUUGGGAUUAUUCAGUGGUCUCUGAAAGCUGGUCACUAGGGCCUAGUUGACUAUGCAGAAUUAUUAAAAGUCCAGAUUCCCCAACCCCCGCCUCCUGAGAUUCAGGCUUAACAAUUCUGAGACAGGAAUCUGUGUUGUCAUCAAGCAGGCAUCCAGGUGAGCCUGGCACCAGUCCCUGGAAACUUUCCCCGGGGACCACCACAUGCUCUGCAGCCAGCAGCCCAUCAUGAACACAGACCCAAGUGGGGACCUGACUUUGAAAGCCCUCUGGACCCAAGAAUCCACAACUUGGAAUAGCAAUCAGCAUGCAGCUGGCUUAGAUCCACUUUUGAGAGAAAAGUGAAUUUAUUUUUAUCAGUGUCUUAAUUACUUGAACUCAAAAAAGCAAAAAUGUCCAUCCAACCCAACAGUUUAGAAAUAAAAUGUUAACACAAGAAGUUGCUUCCAAAACAUAUAAUGGAAGAGAAUUUCAUCAAAUGUCUUUCUUGUGCCUGGAGUAUGAAAGUUAUACAAAAUAUUUUCACAUGACCAAAUCAUAAAAGCUACUUCUGAAUCUAAGUCCCAUACAGAGACAAAUUUUAAAGGUUAUAUUAAGUAGUAACUGCAACCCUCUAGGGAAAUGUUUUAGGAAAAAGGGAAUGACUAGAAAAGUCAUGGUCUUAAAAUUAUGGUAUGGCAUUUUAUCGCUGGCUACUACCUAUCUCUACAGCUGUUGACUGAUAACACACCAUAUGAGUAAUUUCCAGCUUUUUAAGCUUUGGGGUGAAGAUAACCUUUUGCCAGGUUUUAUUUAUUUAUAUUACAUUGGUCCUCCUAUUUGUGCUACAUUUCUCACCUACACUACAUAAGAUUCACCACAUAAGAUUCUCUGCACACUCUGUAUUUGUGGACCAUAUUCACAAAAAAAACCCAAAUUUGUAGGUUGGCAGUUAUCUGACUCUGUUCAGGCUGCUAUAACAAAACACCAUAGACUGGAGGGUUAUAAACAACAGAAAUUUAUUUCUCACAGCUCUGGAAGCUGAAGUGAAAGAUCGAGGUGCAAACAGAUUUGGUGUCUGGCGAGAACUUUCCUCCUGGUUCAGAGGUCACCAUCUUGUCAUCGCUGUGUCCCCACAUGAUGGAAGGAGCAAAGGAACUCUCUGUGUCCUCUUUUAGAAGUGCACUGAUUCCAUUCAUGAAGGCUGUGCUCUUAUAACCACCUACCAAAGGCCCCACCACCUCCUGUGAUACCAUCACCUUGGAAAUGAGGAUUUCAACAUAUGAAUUUGAAGGGACACAAACAUUCACACCAUUGCGAUAGCCAAGCACAUCUUUUGAUUGAUUACAUGGUGUAAAGAUAUACAUGGAUUCCAUUUAAGUCUUGUUUCUAAUGUAGACAACUUGUAAUCACCUUACAUAUCCAUUCAUAAUGUUAAAUAAAUGCUCAAAUUCAGUGGUUUGCUACAUGCAGCCAUUACAAAGAAGAAGAUGGGUCACCGUCUACUGAUGGGGAGAUAGUCAUGUGACACUGGAAGGGAGAAAAGAAGUACAGAGUAAUAUGGAAA
rnacentral:lncRNA from 1 species